ACCAUUCUCAAAUGUAUCUCCCUGACCAACUGAAAUUAGGAGUUUAUAUAGCAGGGAAGAAAUGUGGGAAAACAGGAAUUAGGCAGGGGUAAGGAAGAUAAUUUGGUCAACAGGAAGCAGGAGGUCAGUGAGGCAAUCAUAAUGGGUGAAGGUUCUGAUGUCUCACUGUCCCAAUUCAGUGAUAUGUACCAAUGGAGAAUAUUGAGUCAUCCUUUUCGGACUUCCAAAUCUCAUGGGAGGACUUCUUAUUGGGCAACUCUAUAAGAAACAAGAGAGACAAAAUGGGAAUUUAUGUAAGUUAAAAUGAUUUUCCCCCAUGAGGCCAUUUAAAUAAAUAAUAUUUAAAGCCA